rnacentral:rRNA from 1 species
UAUCGUUUAUUUGAUACUACCGUACUACUUGGAUAACCGUGGUAAUUCUAGAGCUAAUACAUGCAAAACUCCCCGACUCGCGAAGGGGUGUAUUUAUUAAAUUAAAAACCAAUGCCCUCCGGGGCUCCCUGGUGAUUCAUAAUAACUUUUCGGAUCGCAUGGCCUUGUGCCGGCGAUGGUUCAUUCAAAUUUCUGCCCUAUCAACUUUCGAUGGCUGGGUCUUGGCCAGCCAUGGGGGUAACGGGUAACGGAGGGUUAGGGCUUGACCCCGGAGAGGGAGCCUGAGAAACGGCUACCACAUCCAAGGAAGGCAGCAGGCGCGCAAAUUACCCAAUCCCGACACGGGGAGGUAGUGACAAUAAAUACUGAUGCAGGGCUCUUUUGGGUCUUGCAAUUGGAAUGAGUACAAUUUAAAUCCCUUAACGAGGAACAAUUGGAGGGCAAGUCUGGUGCCAGCAGCCGCGGUAAUUCCAGCUCCAAGGGCGUAUAUUAAAGUUGUUGAGGUUAAAAAGCUCGUAGUUGACCCUUGGACCUGGCUGGCCGGUCCGCCUCACCGCGUGCACUGGUCCGGCCGGGUCUUUCCCUCUGGGAAGCCACAUGCCCUUUACUGGGCGUGUUGGGGAACCAGGACGCUUACCGUGAAUAAAUUGGAUCGCUUAAAGAAGGCCUAUGCUUGAACAGUGCAGCAUGGAAUAAUGAAAUAGGACGUGUGGCUCUAUUUUGUUGGUUUCUAGGACCGCCGUAAUGAUUAAUAGGGACAGUCGGGGGCGUCCGUAUUCCAUUGUCAGAGGUGAAAUUCUUGGAUUUAUGGAAGACGAACUACUGCGAAAGCAUUCGCCAAGGAUGUUUUCAUUAAUCAGGAACGAAAGUUAGGGGAUCGAAGACGAUCAGAUACCGUCGUAGUCUUAACCAUAAACUAUGCCGAUUAGGGAUCGGACGGUGUUAUUUUUUGACCCGUUCGGCACCUUACGAAAAAUCAAAAUGU